UACAUGGGGUGCAAACGUUGCUCGGAAUCAUUGGGCGUAAAGCGCGCGUAGGCGGUUACUUAAGUUGGAUGUGAAAGCCCUCGGCUUAACUGAGGAAGUGCAUCCAAAACUGAGUAGCUAGAGUACGAAAGAGGGUCGCGGAAUUCCCGGUGUAGAGGUGAAAUUCGUAGAUAUCGGGAGGAACACCGGUGGCGAAGGCGGCGACCUGGGUAGAUACUGACGCUGAGGCGCGAAAGCGUGGGGAGCAAACAGG
rnacentral:rRNA from 1 species